UACGUAGGGUGCAAGCGUUAAUCGGAAUUACUGGGCGUAAAGCGUGCGCAGGCGGUGAUGUAAGACAGGUGUGAAAUCCCCGGGCUUAACCUGGGAACUGCAUUUGUGACUGCAUCGCUGGAGUGCGGCAGAGGGGGAUGGAAUUCCGCGUGUAGCAGUGAAAUGCGUAGAUAUGCGGAGGAACACCGAUGGCGAAGGCAAUCCCCUGGGCCUGCACUGACGCUCAUGCACGAAAGCGUGGGAAGCAAACAGG
rnacentral:rRNA from 1 species